GUGCUCGCUUCCGCAGCACAAAUACUGAAGUUGGAACGCUACAGAUAAGAUUAGUAUAGCCCCUGCACAAGGAUGACACGCAAAUUUGUGAAGCGUCCCAUAUUGCU